GCUUACCAUGNAGUCGAGCGGAUGUACCAUACAUCAGCGCCAGACGGGUGAGUAACGCGUGCAAGCGUACCUUUUGGCUCGGUAGCGACACAGGGAAACUUCGUGCUAAUACCGGAUAAGCCCUUACGUUUAAAGAUUUAUCGCCGAGAGAUCGGCCCGCGUCUGAUUAACUAGGUGGUACGGGAAUGAUCUACCAAGGGGACGAUCAGUGGCUGGUCUGAGAGGAUGAUCAGCCACAUUGUGACUGAGACACGGCCCAAACUCCUACGUGAGGCAGCAGUGG
rnacentral:rRNA from 1 species